rnacentral:piRNA from 1 species
UGAUUCCCAGUCUCAUUCGCCAAGCCU